rnacentral:rRNA from 1 species
GGAGCUUGCUCCUUUGACGUUAGCGGCGGACGGGUGAGUAACACGUGGGUAACCUACCUAUAAGACUGGGAUAACUUCGGGAAACCGGAGCUAAUACCGGAUAAUAUUUCGAACCGCAUGGUUCGAUAGUGAAAGAUGGUUUUGCUAUCACUUAUAGAUGGACCCGCGCCGUAUUAGCUAGUUGGUAAGGUAACGGCUUACCAAGGCGACGAUACGUAGCCGACCUGAGAGGGUGAUCGGCCACACUGGAACUGAGACACGGUCCAGACUCCUACGGGAGGCAGCAGUAGGGAAUCUUCCGCAAUGGGCGAAAGCCUGACGGAGCAACGCCGCGUGAGUGAUGAAGGUCUUCGGAUCGUAAAACUCUGUUAUUAGGGAAGAACAUACGUGUAAGUAACUAUGCACGUCUUGACGGUACCUAAUCAGAAAGCCACGGCUAACUACGUGCCAGCAGCCGCGGUAAUACGUAGGUGGCAAGCGUUAUCCGGAAUUAUUGGGCGUAAAGCGCGCGUAGGCGGUUUUUUAAGUCUGAUGUGAAAGCCCACGGCUCAACCGUGGAGGGUCAUUGGAAACUGGAAAACUUGAGUGCAGAAGAGGAAAGUGGAAUUCCAUGUGUAGCGGUGAAAUGCGCAGAGAUAUGGAGGAACACCAGUGGCGAAGGCGACUUUCUGGUCUGUAACUGACGCUGAUGUGCGAAAGC